rnacentral:tRNA from 1 species
GGAGGGUAUAGCUCAGUGGUAGAGCACAUGCUUAGUAUGCAUGAGGUCCUGGGUUCAAUCCCCAGUACCUCCA